rnacentral:rRNA from 1 species
CAGUAGCCACGGUAACACGGAGGGUGCAAGCGUUAAUCGGAAUUACUGGGCGUAAAGCGCACGCAGGCGGUUUGUUAAGUCAGAUGUGAAAUCCCCGAGCUUAACUUGGGAGCUGCAUUUGAAACUGGCAAGCUAGAGUCUUGUAGAGGGGGGUAGAAUUCCAGGUGUAGCGGUGAAAUGCGUAGAGAUCUGGAGGAAUACCGGUGGCGAAGGCGGCCCCCUGGACAAAGACUGACGCUCAGGUGCGAAAGCGUGGGGAGCAAACAGGAUUAGAUACCCGCGUAGUCCCUGUCUCUUAUAA